rnacentral:rRNA from 1 species
CUACGGGUGGCACCAGUGAGGAAUAUUGCACAAUGGGGGGAACCCUGAUGCAGCAACGCCGCGUGGAGGAUGACGCAUUUCGGUGUGUAAACUCCUUUUAUAUGUCAAGAAAAUGACGGUAGCAUAUGAAUAAGCACCGGCUAACUCCGUGCCAGCAGCCGCGGUAAUACGGAGGGUGCAAGCGUUACUCGGAAUCACUGGGCGUAAAGGACGCGUAGGCGGGUUGGAAAGUCAGGUGUGAAAUCCUACAGCUUAACUGUAGAACUGCACUUGAAACUUCUAAUCUAGAGUAUGGGAGGGGGAGGUGGAAUUAGCGGUGUAGGGGUAAAAUCCGUAGAUAUCACUAGGAAUACCUAAAGCGAAGGCGAUCUCCUGGAACAUUACUGACGCUAAGGCGUGAAAGCGUGGGGAGCAAACAGGAUUAGAUACCCGCGUAGUC